CCUACGGGAGGCAGCAGUGAGGAAUAUUGGUCAAUGGGCGUAAGCCUGAACCAGCCAAGUCGCGUGAGGAAUGAAGGUUCUAUGGAUCGUAAACCUCUUUUAUACGGGAAUAAAGUGUGGGACGUGUCCUAUUUUGUAUGUACCGUAUGAAUAAGGAUCGGCUAACUCCGUGCCAGCAGCCGCGGUAAUACGGAGGAUCCGAGCGUUAUCCGGAUUUAUUGGGUUUAAAGGGUGCGUAGGCGGCUUUUUAAGUUAGCGGUGAAAGUCUGUGGCUCAACCAUAGAAUUGCCGUUGAUACUGGGGGACUUGAGAAGGUUUGCGGCAGGCGGAAUGCAUGGUGUAGCGGUGAAAUGCUUAGAUAUCACGCAGAACCCCGAUUGCGAAGGCAGCCUGCCAAGCCAUGACUGACGCUGAUGCACGAAAGCGUGGGGAGCAAACAGGAUUAGAUACCCUUGUAGUC
rnacentral:rRNA from 1 species